ACAGGGAUUGCCCUAGUAACGGCGAGUGAAGCGGCAACAGCUCAAAUUUGAAAUCUGGCUCUUUCAGGGUCCGAGUUGUAAUUUGCAGAGGGCGCUUUGGCGUUGGCAGCGGUCCAAGUUCCUUGGAACAGGACGUCACAGAGGGUGAGAAUCCCGUACGUGGUCGCUGGCCUUCGCCGUGUAAAGCCCCUUCGACGAGUCGAGUUGUUUGGGAAUGCAGCUCUAAAUGGGAGGUAAAUUUCUUCUAAAGCUAAAUACUGGCCAGAGACCGAUAGCGCACAAGUAGAGUGAUCGAAAGAUGAAAAGCACUUUGGAAAGAGAGUCAAAUAGCACGUGAAAUUGUUGAAAGGGAAGCGCUUGCAGCCAGACUUGCCUGUAGUUGCUCAUCCGGGCUCUUGCCCGGUGCACUCUUCUAUAGGCAGGCCAGCAUCAGUUUGGGCGGUUGGAUAAAGGUCUCUGUCAUGUACCUCUCUUCGGGGAGGCCUUAUAGGGGAGACGACAUGCAACCAGCCUGGACUGAGGUCCGCGCAUUCGCUAGGAUGCUGGCGUAAUGGCUGUAAGCGGCCCGUCUUGAAACACGGACCAAGGAGUCUAACAUCUAUGCGAGUGUUUGGGUGUCAAGCCCGAACGCGUAAUGAAAGUGAACGGAGGUGGGAACCCUUACGGGUGCACCAUCGACCGAUCCUGAUGUCUUCGGAAGGAUUUGAGUAAGAGCAUGGCUGUUGGGACCCGAAAGAUGGUGAACUAUGCUUGAAUAGGGUGAAGCCAGAGGAAACUCUGGUGGAGGCUCGCAGCGGUUCUGACGUGCAAAUCGAUCGUCAAAUUUGGGCAUAGGGGCGAAAGACUAAU
rnacentral:rRNA from 1 species